rnacentral:rRNA from 1 species
CCUACGGGAGGCAGCAGUAGGGAAUCUUCCACAAUGGGCGAAAGCCUGAUGGAGCAACGCCGCGUGAGCGAAGAAGGUCUUCGGAUCGUAAAGCUCUGUUGUAAGGGAAGAACAAGUGCAGUAGUAACUGGCUGCACCUUGACGGUACCUAACCAGAAAGCCACGGCUAACUACGUGCCAGCAGCCGCGGUAAUACGUAGGUGGCAAGCGUUGUCCGGAAUUAUUGGGCGU